UACGUAGGGUGCGAGCGUUAAUCGGAAUUACUGGGCGUAAAGCGUGCGCAGGCGGUCUUGCAAGACAGAGGUGAAAUCCCCGGGCUCAACCUGGGAACUGCCUUUGUGACUGCAAGGCUAGAGUACGGCAGAGGGGGAUGGAAUUCCGCGUGUAGCAGUGAAAUGCGUAGAUAUGCGGAGGAACACCGAUGGCGAAGGCAAUCCCCUGGGCCUGUACUGACGCUCAUGCACGAAAGCGUGGGGAGCGAACAGG
rnacentral:rRNA from 1 species